UGUAGCAGGAUUAGGUGAGCUGUGAUUGACAGCUACUGUCACCUAUCAGGAAGGGGCAGUCCCUUUUUAAGCACUGAUUGGCUGCUGCUCGGAAUGCGUCAUGUCCUGUGUUUCCCCCGGGUGUUUGUAGCAAUAGCGACAGGUGAGAAUUGUUAAUGUGCUGUUCGUAGUUUUAAUCUGUAUGUUAUUUAAAACUUAGUUUGUGUUGGUUUUAGCGUGUUUGUCCAGCGUACUGGUGCCCUUGUGCUGUUGGUGGCUUAAAUGACUGUGCACCCUCAGUUGGCUGUGGUUGACCUGUUGUAGGUUAAACAGUGCUGUAAAAGAUGUUAAUGUGUCUGGGGUGAUGCCACUGUGCGGGUUCUCCCUUUUGUUCUACGUGGUUUCCUCUGGUUGCUGCCUGUUUGAGUCUCGUGCUGUUUUAUCGCACCACUGUAACAUUACAUUAUUGUUACCGCUGUAAACCGGACUGUCCACUGUUUGGUUCCUGAACUUGAGUGUGUAAUAUCUUGAAGUGGAGGAUUAGCGCAUUGGAGCCGGCGUAUGGACUUUGGUGUUCGCGCCAUGAUUUUCUUGUAGUUUCAGCUGCCAGUUUUCUUUGUUUGUUUGUUUUUGUUUUAUUGUAAAAUUUGUAUAUUAUUGUUUUGAAUAUGUAGUUUGCUUAAUAUACUUUCAGGAGCUGGGGUCCCCACGGGUGAGGGAUCUUGUGGUGGUGGUGGUGGUACCGCUCAACGGUUCCCGUGUUACACCUUUGAAGUGUAUAAGUGUGUGUACAUUGAGUUCACGGUGUGGUGUGCGAAAGUGUGCUUUUGGACAACUUGUGCCAGUGAUCCCUCGAGUGGGUAACCUCAGCUCUGUAGGUUUGUGUAUUGUUUUAAUUAGUUUAUUAUUUGUCUUCCUUUCCACGCACUGCAUUGUAGCAGUGAGGACCAUUAAACCUUCAAUUGUUUUGUAUUUUUGUGUAACUUUGUGAUUGUGAUGUUUUAUGUCAUUUGUUUUAUGUAUUUACUGCAGUGAGACAGAUUUGUUUUGAAUAAUGUUGUCUUCUGUUUAUUUUACAUCUAGCUCAUUGACAUGAACACAGAAUAUUGUGAAAUAAAAAUUUAUAUUUUUUGUACUAUACCCACGUUUUCUGCUCCCUUCACUUUUAAGAGGAACGAACCUGUGUGCCUUACCGCCUUCCUGGGUGUAAGGAAUAUUUCCCUGGGUGUAAGUCCCGGGGUGGCGUAGUCGGAAUUUUAUCUAAAAUCUUUGCUUUCGUCUUAAGCUAAACUUUCACCCCCUCGUCAUGCCACAUUUUGGCGUAGUGUCGGCAGGGUCCUCAAAUUUGGAGUGAAGAGACGUGGGUAUUGUUUUUAUGUAUGUGGGAUUUUGUUUAUGUCUUGUAGGAACCAGACAGCGGCAGUUUUCGCGUCGGAAUCCCAGCACAAUUUGUGGCUGGACUUGCGCGGUUUAAUCGGCUGCGGUCAGUGGUUCAUGGGUCUAGGAAUAGAGGACGAAUCGCACAGGUUAAGCAAUUUUACAGGCUCCGUAGAGGUAAAAUGUGUUAUUGGGUUAAGAACAAAAGGGAGAAUCUGAAUGUAUUGUUAAGUGGAGGGCCAGCUGGGUUUUUGGGCAAGGCUGUGAAAGUGGGGAUGUCGGGCAUGGCGUAUCAUUAAAGGCACCACUAAAACUGGUUGUCGUCAUUUGUUCUGUAUGAUCUGUACACUUCUAUAGUGCCUGAAGUUGGGGUAUUACUGAUGUAGUAUUUGCCUGUAACUUUGAUUUUAUGGUGGGGUUAGGAGGUACUAUCGGUCCCAUGUCAUUAGUUAUUGGAUGGUGUCCCUCUGAGUCUGAGGUGGAACCAUCCAGUAAGGUUUAUUGGUAGGAGAUGUACCCCCCAGGUGAGUCAUUUUCAGAUGGGGUCCCUCAGAGUUUGGGGUGAAACCAUCUGAUGAAUUUUAUAGUGCAGGAGCUGUAUCCCCCAGGUCAGUCAUUUUUCAGAUGGUGUCCCUCAGAGUUUGGGGUGAAACCAUCUGAGAUUUUUAUUUUAUCGGGAAGCUCUUGUUUUAGUUAUUUGUCAUUGGAGAUUACGUCAGGUUAGUUCUCCAAUUGAUACCACUUCUUGUAAUUGGCGGGCACAGCGGAUGUGUCUGCAGAGUGGAUUGUAGAUUUGUGCCUUUUCCCGACCUUGGGGCUGAGCACCCUGAGGUGGGUUUUGUUUAGUUCACCGUCGGGGCGACGUUGCAGAAACUUGGGGUGGAUUGUAGCAGGAUUAGGUGAGCUGUGAUUGACAGCUACUGUCACCUAUCAGGAAGGGGCAGUCCCUUUUUAAGCACUGAUUGGCUGCUGCUCGGAAUGCGUCAUGUCCUGUGUUUCCCCCGGGUGUUUGUAGCAAUAGCGACAGGUGAGAAUUGUUAAUGUGCUGUUCGUAGUUUUAAUCUGUAUGUUAUUUAAAACUUAGUUUGUGUUGGUUUUAGCGUGUUUGUCCAGCGUACUGGUGCCCUUGUGCUGUUGGUGGCUUAAAUGACUGUGCACCCUCAGUUGGCUGUGGUUGACCUGUUGUAGGUUAAACAGUGCUGUAAAAGAUGUUAAUGUGUCUGGGGUGAUGCCACUGUGCGGGUUCUCCCUUUUGUUCUACGUGGUUUCCUCUGGUUGCUGCCUGUUUGAGUCUCGUGCUGUUUUAUCGCACCACUGUAACAUUACAUUAUUGUUACCGCUGUAAACCGGACUGUCCACUGUUUGGUUCCUGAACUUGAGUGUGUAAUAUCUUGAAGUGGAGGAUUAGCGCAUUGGAGCCGGCGUAUGGACUUUGGUGUUCGCGCCAUGAUUUUCUUGUAGUUUCAGCUGCCAGUUUUCUUUGUUUGUUUGUUUUUGUUUUAUUGUAAAAUUUGUAUAUUAUUGUUUUGAAUAUGUAGUUUGCUUAAUAUACUUUCAGGAGCUGGGGUCCCCACGGGUGAGGGAUCUUGUGGUGGUGGUGGUGGUACCGCUCAACGGUUCCCGUGUUACACCUUUGAAGUGUAUAAGUGUGUGUACAUUGAGUUCACGGUGUGGUGUGCGAAAGUGUGCUUUUGGACAACUUGUGCCAGUGAUCCCUCGAGUGGGUAACCUCAGCUCUGUAGGUUUGUGUAUUGUUUUAAUUAGUUUAUUAUUUGUCUUCCUUUCCACGCACUGCAUUGUAGCAGUGAGGACCAUUAAACCUUCAAUUGUUUUGUAUUUUUGUGUAACUUUGUGAUUGUGAUGUUUUAUGUCAUUUGUUUUAUGUAUUUACUGCAGUGAGACAGAUUUGUUUUGAAUAAUGUUGUCUUCUGUUUAUUUUACAUCUAGCUCAUUGACAUGAACACAGAAUAUUGUGAAAUAAAAAUUUAUAUUUUUUGUACUAUACCCACGUUUUCUGCUCCCUUCACUUUUAAGAGGAACGAACCUGUGUGCCUUACCGCCUUCCUGGGUGUAAGGAAUAUUUCCCUGGGUGUAAGUCCCGGGGUGGCGUAGUCGGAAUUUUAUCUAA